AUCCCAUCUAAAAAAUAAUAUUAAUAAUACACAUAACUUGUGGCUCCAUAUUGAUGGGCUAUAUGCAUUUGUAAUAUGUAAUAGCCAUAUUGCACGAAUUCAGCUUAUGAGACAAAAGUAUAAUGUGCUCAACUAUUUGGAUAGUAAGGCACACUUCUAGCGCACUGGAAGUACGUCACUUUUCGCAGCAAAACAACGUUUUCAACACGGGUUCCUAAAUGACUGUGGUGGCAGCCUGCAUCACAUAGAAGAUGAACACGGGUGAUUGGGGGAAACAGAUUGAAGAAGGUGGAACAACUAGCUCAGUCCUUCCAGCAGUGUCCUUUGUCCUCUCGCUUCAAACCAAGGCUGUCCCGGCCAUGGCAGCCAUCCUCCAUAUGGAGGCUCUUCCCCCGUCAAUGUAUGGCUAUCAACUUUGCCCAGAGAGGACGUGCACGUGUUUGCACUUGAGAAGGAACAGGCCAAGAUGGAUGGGAAGAUCUUCCUGGUCACCAGUUACAGUGAGCUAUGGCAUUACUACAGCGCAAGGGGACCAAAGACACUGUCACAGUAGACAAGGGAGGGCACAACCGUCGCCAAUCAUCACAUCCGAAGAGCAUUACAUUC